UACGAAGGUCCCGAGCGUUGUUCGGAAUCACUGGGCGUAAAGGGAGCGUAGGCGGCAUGGUAAGUACAGAUGUGAAAUCCCGGGGCUCAACCCCGGAACUGCAUCCGAUACUGCCUUGCUUGAGGGGUUGGAGAGGUAGCUGGAAUUAUCGGUGUAGCAGUGAAAUGCGUGGAUAUCGAUAGGAACACUCGUGGCGAAGGCGAGCUACUGGACAACAUCUGACGCUGAGGCUCGAAGGCUAGGGGAGCAAAAGGG
rnacentral:rRNA from 1 species